GAUGAAGAACGCAGCGAAAUGCGAUAAGUAAUGUGAAUUGCAGAAUUCAGUGAAUCAUCGAAUCUUUGAACGCACAUUGCGCCCGCCAGUAUUCUGGCGGGCAUGCCUGUCCGAGCGUCAUUUCAACCAUCAAGCCCCGGGCUUGUGUUGGGGACCUGCGUCCGACGCAGGCCCUGAAAACCAGUGGCGGGCUUGCUGUCCACACCGAGCGUAGUAACUAACCUCGCUAUGGAGUGGCGCGGGCGCCUGCCGUAAAACCCCCAAUUUCACAAGGUUGACCUCGGAUCAGGUAGGAAUACCCGCUGAACUUAAGCAUAUCAAUAAGCGGAGGA
rnacentral:misc_RNA from 1 species